rnacentral:rRNA from 1 species
UACGUAGGGGGCUAGCGUUGUCCGGAAUCAUUGGGCGUAAAGCGCGUGUAGGCGGUCCGGUAAGUCCGCUGUGAAAGUCGAGGGCUCAACCCUCGAAUGCCGGUGGAUACUGUCGGGCUAGAGUCCGGAAGAGGCGAGUGGAACUCCUGGUGUAGCGGUGGAAUGCGCAGAUAUCAGGAGGAACACCGGUGGCGAAGGCGGGUCUCUGGGCCGUAACUGACGCUGAGGAGCGAAAGCAUGGGGGAGCGAACAGG